UUAGCUGGGAUGGGCUACAUUGGUAUAAUACAUCAUGGAUUUAGAAAACUUAAAAGCAGAAUGUAGUGGCACCUGGGUGGUUCAGUCACUGAACGUCUGCCUUCAGCUCAGGUCCUAAUCUCUGGGUCCUGGGAUCCACCUCCAGAUUGGGCUCCCUGCUCAGCAGGGAGUCUGCUUCUGCCUCUCUCUCUGCUCCCCAUCACCACCACCCUUUCCCGGCACGUGCACUUGCGAGGCUUCUCUCCCUCUCUUGCUGUCUCUCAUUUAGUGAAGAAAAUUUGCUACUCUGCCUGGAUGAAAUGAGUUUUCAUGGAAUUGAGUAAGUUUUUUCUAAGCUAAAACUAUAAAGGGAAUCAUGAGUCAAAAGAGACACCAUCAGUUAAAAGACAAGUCCUCAGAAGUAAAACUGUUGUCACUUCUUCACUAAAAGCUAGAAUGAAAUUACCCUAAAGUACUCAGUCAGGAUGCAGCCCAGGAAACACAAACACUAAGAGUAUCAUGGAUUAAAGGCUUUAUUACCCAACUGUGGGAGAG
rnacentral:lncRNA from 12 species